rnacentral:tRNA from 1 species
UGCCCGGUGGUGUAACUGGCAACACGUCUGGCUCUGGACCAGAAAUGUCUAGGUUCGAACCCUAGCCGGGCAGC